rnacentral:rRNA from 1 species
GACGAACGCUGGCGGCGUGCUUAACACAUGCAAGUCGAACGAAGAGCGAUGGAAGCUUGCUUCUAUCACUCUUAGUGGCGCACGGGUGAGUAACGCGUAAUCAACCUGCCCUUCAGAGGGGGACAACAGUUGGAAACGACUGCUAAUACCGCAUACGAUCUAAUCUCGGCAUCGAGGAUAGAUGAAAGGUGGCCUCUACAUGUAAGCUAUCACUGAAGGAGGGGAUUGCGUCUGAUUAGCUAGUUGGAGGGGUAACGGCCCACCAAGGCGAUGAUCAGUAGCCGGUCUGAGAGGAUGAACGGCCACAUUGGGACUGAGACACGGCCCAGACUCCUACGGGAGGCAGCAGUGGGGAAUCUUCCGCAAUGGACGAAAGUCUGACGGAGCAACGCCGCGUGAGUGAUGACGGCCUUCGGGUUGUAAAGCUCUGUUAAUCGGGACGAAAGGCCUUCUUGCAAAUAGUGAGAAGGAUUGACGGUACCGGAAUAGAAAGCCACGGCUAACUACGUG